rnacentral:tRNA from 1 species
GCCGACGUAGCUCAGGAGUAGAGCAGCUGUUUUGUAAACAGCAGGCCGGGAUUGCGAAAUUCCCCGUCGGCU